ACAGUUCGUAAGUCUUAACUAUUAUAUCUGGGGGGCCGGACCUCCACAAAGACUAGGGCCCAGGCAGCGCUGCUGCUCCCAAUCUUUGUGCCCGCCCCUGUCUGGCAUAUACCCAUGUCCUUUGCGUACAACUUGUUUUCCUUGGGGGGCUUGCCCCCCAUUAGGACCAAUAUACCAACCCUUUUGUAAUUGCAGUCUGCGUCAGAAAAUCAUAUAAUAAUUACAACUUUCAACAACGGAUCUCUUGGUUCUGGCAUCGAUGAAGAACGCAGCGAAAUGCGAUAAGUAGUGUGAAUUGCAGAAUUCAGUGAAUCAUCGAAUCUUUGAACGCACAUUGCGCCCCUUGGUAUUCCAGGGGGCAUGCCUGUUCGAGCGUCAUUUGUACCCUCAAGCUCUGCUUGGUGUUGGGUGUUUGUCUCGCGGUUCUGCGUAGACUCGCCUUAAAACAAUUGGCAGCCGGCAUGUUAGCCUGGAGCGCAGCACAUAUUGCGCCUCUUGUUAGCGAUUGUUGGCACCCAUCAAGUCCAUUUAUUUGCUCUUGACCUCGGAUCAGGUAGGGAUACCCGCUGAACUUAAGCAUAUCAAUAAGCGGAGGAAA
rnacentral:rRNA from 1 species